AGACAAGGCAGUCAGUGACGAAGUCAAGUCAAGCCGCUUCUGGAGCGAUCGUCGUUCGGUGGUGAUUGUUGUUUUUUUGCCUAGGUGUUUCUAGACCUACUAACCAGUAACAAAAACAUGGAAAUAGCAAAAACGGCCGAGUCUGAAGUUCGAUCGUGGCUUACAGAACUUUAUCCAGAAAAGGGAGAGCUUGUUUCACCUGCUUCAUCGCCCAUCGUCGAAGAUGUUCCCACAUCUCACGACACUGUCUACGCCAAGCAUCCGGUCUGCACAUCAGCAUCAAAAAUAGACGAUGCUUUGAGGCGAAAAUUGAAGAAAAAGAAACAGUUCGACGGAGUGCGUCACUUCAAGCACACUGGAUCACUGCUGGUUCAUGCUGCCUCAGGGCAAGUGAACAUAGCCCACCCUCAUGUAGACACUGCUGACGACUGCGAUAGCAAAGUGGGAGCCAUCAAGAAGCCUCAGAAACUGACAACCUCUGUGUUAAAAAAUUAUAAAAUUGCCGAUAUAAAACACUUGUCGAAAUCAGCCAAGAAGAGGUUAAAAAAGAGACUACAAAAAAAGACUGACACAUGAAUGCAAGGCACCAUAUGUUUCAACCUUUCACAUGAAAAAAGAAGUUCUCACAUUUCAUGUUACUUUCAACAGCAUUGAUUGUUUCUCUUUCCAGUUUUUCAAGACUGAUUGGUGGCCGAGCAUGUUAGUGCACCACAGUCCAAAAAAGUGUGAAGGCUCGCACCACAAAACCCAGACACCCUGGGCUCCAUUCCUGCCCCUGCCUGUUUCAAUAUGGAUGAGUGUCGUAUCGGUGUAAUCCCUAGCUGCUACAACGUGAUGUACUCUGUUCUAAGGAGCCCUUAACUUUUGCUGUUGAAAUCUGUGGACAAAAGUUGAAACACUACAAAAAGCUUAGACUUUUCUUUCUGCUGAAGAUUGGAUGCAUUGUAAGAAUCCUGUGGUGCCUUUCCAAUGACUUCAUCACAUCUUGUUAUUUGUAGAGGCACCGUAUAAUAGAUUGCAUAGACCCGCAAACAAUGGGAAGUUGCUGUCUCAAUAACCUGGGAUCUUUAUCGUGUAUCAGGCAGUCUGAUUACACAGAUGCAAGAAGAUGCAAGGCUGGUCCAUAUCAGAACCAGGAGUAACAUUUAAUGACAAUUUUAAUAAUAAUUUUUACAUCUAUGUAAAGUUAUGAUCCUGGCGACGUGUGGGGCUAGUGUAGAAAGGUGAAAACGCAUACGCUUAACUGUCUGUAAGAUGAUCAUGUCGUGCAGGGUUGAUAACAAAGACAGUAGAGCGAGAAAACAAGUUAAUUGCGAGACAUAUGCUGUCUUAAAAUUAAGAAUGCAAGUGACCAACACAGCACUACAUCAAGACAGGUGCAGUGGCCACGUCGGCUCACAAAAUGAGUUUUGAGUCGGUUCUGUCCGUGGGGAGUGACAAAAAGAUGUUCAGAGGGUUGGAGAGGAAGUCCCCAAUGGAAAGAAACUAAAAAGGCUGUACUUGUAGCAUAGCUUACGGAUAUAAAGCAUGUUGGGCCAACCUGUACCCCUGUUCACGUGAUGCACCCGGGAGAGAGAUUCGCACAAAAGGUACAACCCGUCAAUAUCUUGCAAAAUGAGGCAAGCAAGUCGCUGCUUUUCUGUGCUCAAGGGCCAGCCAGAUGUACAGCUGAAUUCUCCUGGCCUAUGGAGGCACAGUAAAACAAAUGACUUCAGCAUGCAGGGUGCAGGUGACAUGAAACAAAACAAUUUCCAUCUGAUCUAUGAAAUGGGCUUGGGAGGAUGACGAAAUAGACGUGCAGAACUCGAACUGGGCAAGACUAAAGUGCUGUGAGGAGCAUGGAAUGCGUUGGAGCAACAAAGUUUAGAGAUCCCAGCCAUGAAAUCUGCGUGCUGCAUGAAGGUAACACUUAAGAUUAGCAGGGAGCUUGCAGUUUGCAGGGCAGAUAGUGUGGGCUUACUUUGAGGCAACAAAAUGCACAACAAUGGUUUUCGAAGUUUUGGAUCUUUAGAUUUGGAGUGAGCAGACCUCUGCUAGAUGAUCUUAAAACCGACUAGUGUAAGAGGGAGAAAAGAUCCAGAACAUUGGGGUAGAGGAUUGGGCAUAUCCUGUUGCAGCUAGGCAUGCCAUUUGUAAUGAAUAGGAGUGUUGAUCCAUGCUCCAAUCUUUGGGAGACUCGAUUUAACUCUUUCCUGACCCUGGGAAAAAUAGCAAUUUUCAAAGGUUCUGUGCAAACGCUUUUAUUUUCCUAGCUAAUUUGCAUAUGAAGCAAAAUGACUCAUAAAAAUGUGGCCAAUUAGUUGUUCUUUUAAGAGAAACAGGUUGAUAAACUGUGAAAAGAAAAAAAGAUUUUAAAAUUUUGUUUGAAAA